rnacentral:rRNA from 1 species
CAGUAGCCACGGUAAAACGUAGGUGGCAAGCGUUGUCCGGAAUUAUUGGGCGUAAAGGGCUCGCAGGCGGUUUCUUAAGUCUGAUGUGAAAGCCCCCGGCUCAACCGGGGAGGGUCAUUGGAAACUGGGAAACUUGAGUGCAGAAGAGGAGAGUGGAAUUCCGCGUGUAGCGGUGAAAUGCGUAGAGAUGUGGAGGAACACCAGUGGCGAAGGCGACUCUCUGGUCUGUAACUGACGCUGAGGAGCGAAAGCGUGGGGAGCGAACAGGAUUAGAUACCCCUGUAGUCCCUGUCUCUUAUAC